CCGUGCAGCCAUAAUUGAUCAAUCUUUGACUUGUAUAGACGAUUCUUUAUUGUGCCGUAUGAUUAUCUUAAUAGCGUUCUACCCCACUGUUCUUUAAUUAGCUUCGCCUCGACAGUGCGAUAAUAAUGUUCGUCUGAGUCUUCUUCUUCGCGAAAAACCAAUCGAUAUUUGUACCGCGUGUGUCAAUGGAAGAAAGAAAUACAUUUAUUAUAAUGUGAUAUUUAGUAUAACAGAUAAGAUUGUGGUAUUAGGUUACAAUAAGGUGUGUUAUUUUUUCAAAGUGAUUACAAAUUUUCAAUGGUACUGCCGCUUGUGCUUACGCACGAUAUUUUCAACAAAUGUCAGUUUGAAAUUUUAUAUUCGUGAAGGAACAACGUUCCGUGAAACAUUUCUAACCUUUAUUUUGGUAUUCUUCCAUUAAUCCUCCAUGCAAGUGUAAACUUAUUGCUUUGGAAUAUAAUUAUUGAUAAAAA
rnacentral:misc_RNA from 1 species